UAGAGUUUGUUCCUGGCUCAGGACGAACGCUGGCGGCGCGCUUAACACAUGCAAGUCGAGCGAGAACCGAGGCUUCGGCCUCGAGGAAAGCGGCGAACGGGUGAGUAACACGUGGGCAACCUGCCCUCGGCACCGGGAUAGCCCGGGGAAACCCGGAUUAAUACCGGACAGCCUCCGGAGCCUGCGGGCGCCGGAGAAAAGGUGGCUUCGGCUUCCGGCUGAGGAGGGGCCUGCGGCGGAUUAGCUUGUUGGUGAGGUAACGGCUCACCAAGGCGACGAUCCGUAGCUGGUCUGAGAGGACGAUCAGCCACACUGGGACUGAGACACGGCCCAGACUCCUACGGGAGGCAGCAGUGGGGAAUAUUGGACAAUGGGCGCAAGCCUGAUCCAGCCAUGCCGCGUGGGUGAUGAAGGCCCUAGGGUUGUAAAGCCCUUUCAGCGGGGAAGAUAAUGACGGUACCCGCAGAAGAAGCCCCGGCUAACUUCGUGCCAGCAGCCGCGGUAAUACGAAGGGGGCUAGCGUUGCUCGGAAUUACUGGGCGUAAAGCGCACGUAGGCGGAUUGUUAAGUCGGGGGUGAAAUCCUGGAGCUCAACUCCAGAACUGCCUUCGAUACUGGCGAUCUCGAGUCCGGGAGAGGUGAGUGGAACUGCGAGUGUAGAGGUGAAAUUCGUAGAUAUUCGCAAGAACACCAGUGGCGAAGGCGGCUCACUGGCCCGGUACUGACGCUAAGGUGCGAAAGCGUGGGGAGCAAACAGGAUUAGAUACCCUGGUAGUCCACGCCGUAAACGAUGCGCGCUAGAUCGGUGCGGCUCUGACGCCGGAUCGGUCGGAGUAAAAACGAUAAGCGCGCCGCCUGGGGAGUACGGUCGCAAGGCUAAAACUCAAAGGAAUUGACGGGGGCUCACACAAGCGGUGGAGCAUGUUGCUUAAUUCGAUGCAACGCGAAGAACCUUACCUGGGCUUGACAUGGCCGGAUUAGUUCCCGGAAACGGGGAUGACACCCGCAAGGGUGGAACGGUCACAGGUGCUGCAUGGCUGUCGUCAGCUCGUGCUGUGAAGUGUCGGGUUAAGUCCCUUAACGAGCGCAACCCCUGUCGUUAGUUGCUCGGCGCAAGCCAGUACUUUAGCGAGACUGCCGCUGUAAAGCGGAGGAAGGUGGGGAUGACGUCAAGUCCUCAUGGCCCUUACGUCCAGGGUUGCAAACGUGCUACAAUGGCGCGCACAGAGCGAUGCAAGAGCGCAAGCUGGAGCAAAUCGCAAAAAACGCGCCCCAGUUCGGAUUGCAGGCUGCAACUCGCCUGCAUGAAGUCGGAAUCGCUAGUAAUCGGAGAUCAGCUACGCUCCGGUGAAUACGUUCCUGAGCCUUGUACACACCGCCCGUCAAGUCAUGGGAGCCGGGAGCGCCCGAAGUCGUCACUCCUCAGUGAUGCCCACGGCAAGCUCGGUGACUGGGACUAAGUCGUAACAAGGUAACCGUA
rnacentral:rRNA from 1 species